UCGCGGCCUAUCAGCUUGUUGGUGGGGUAAUGGCCCACCAAGGCGACGACGGGUAGCCGGCCUGAGAGGGCGACCGGCCACACUGGGACUGAGACACGGCCCAGACUCCUACGGGAGGCAGCAGUGGGGAAUAUUGCACAAUGGGCGAAAGCCUGAUGCAGCGACGCCGCGUGAGGGAUGACGGCCUUCGGGUUGUAAACCUCUUUCAGCAGGGAAGAAGCGAAAGUGACGGUACCUGCAGAAGAAGCGCCGGCUAACUACGUGCCAGCAGCCGCGGUAAUACGUAGGGCGCAAGCGUUGUCCGGAAUUAUUGGGCGUAAAGAGCUCGUAGGCGGCUUGUCACGUCGGAUGUGAAAGCCCGAGGCUUAACCUCGGGUCUGCAUUCGAUACGGGCUAGCUAGAGUGUGGUAGGGGAGAUCGGAAUUCCUGGUGUAGCGGUGAAAUGCGCAGAUAUCAGGAGGAACACCGGUGGCGAAGGCGGAUCUCUGGGCCAUUACUGACGCUGAGGAGCGAAAGCGUGGGGAGCGAACAGGAUUAGAUACCCUGGUAGUCCACGCCGUAAACGUUGGGAACUAGGUGUUGGCGACAUUCCACGUCGUCGGUGCCGCAGCUAACGCAUUAAGUUCCCCGCCUGGGGAGUACG
rnacentral:rRNA from 1 species